rnacentral:lncRNA from 1 species
GCCUGAUAGUGUUAUAAAAUUAUUCUCACAGCAAAACUAUAAAGAACUAUCUUAUAAGAUGGCCAUUUAUUAGUGGUAAAAUGAAUAGCAUUAUCUAGUUUCUGACACAGGUGGCGCAAACAUUUGAUAUUUUGUAUUUUCACAGGAAAAUACUUAUUUCUGGAUUACAACUGAGUUUGGAGAGACAUUUGAAAACAGGCUUUCACCCAUGUCUUGGUGUGUUAUUUUGAUUUAAAAAAAAUAGACCCUCAGGUAAAAUUCAAAUAUAUUUCCAAGAAAAAGUUGUAUUUUCUAGCAAAUUCAAACAAUUGCUCAGAAGUACACUCAUCAGUAUUAGCAAUUGUUGGUAAUAAUGGUGAUUAAAUAGUUACAUUAACAAUGAGCACAAUUAUUUCCCUUUAAAAUUUACUUUGCAAUCAAGCAAGCAUACUCUCUACCUGAUAUUAAACUAUGCACUGGUGGGUGAACACUUUUUUAUUUGAUA